UACCGGGUACUCCGGGAGGGCCCCAUGGCCCUGCCGGGAAAGCCGAGACGGCGCGGGAUGGGGUCGCGGCCCAUUAGGUAGACGGCGGGGUAACGGCCCACCGUGCCCGCGAUGGGUAGCCGGACUGAGAGGUCGACCGGCCACAUUGGGACUGAGAUACGGCCCAGACUCCUACGGGAGGCAGCAGUGGGGAAUUUUGCGCAAUGGGGGAAACCCUGACGCAGCAACGCCGCGUGCGGGACGAAGGCCCUCGGGUUGUAAACCGCUUUCAGCAGGGAAGACUUUACGACGGUACCUGCAGAAGAAGCUCCGGCUAACUACGUGCCAGCAGCCGCGGUAAUACGUAGGGGGCGAGCGUUAUCCGGAUUCAUUGGGCGUAAAGCGCGCGUAGGCGGCCGCCUAAGCGGGACCUCUAACCCCGGGGCUCAACCCCGGGCCGGGUCCCGGACUGGGCGGCUCGAGUGCGGUAGAGGAGAGCGGAAUUCCCGGUGUAGCGGUGGAAUGCGCAGAUAUCGGGAAGAACACCGAUGGCGAAGGCAGCUCUCUGGGCCGUCACUGACGCUGAGGCGCGAAAGCUGGGGGAGCGAACAGGAUUAGAUACCCUGGUAGUCCCAGCC
rnacentral:rRNA from 1 species